rnacentral:rRNA from 1 species
UACGUAGGUGGCAAGCGUUGUCCGGAAUUAUUGGGCGUAAAGGGCUCGCAGGCGGUUUUCUAAGUCUGAUGUGAAAUCUUGCGGCUUAACCGUAAGCGGUCAUUGGAAACUGGAGAACUUGAGUACAGAAGAGGAGAGUGGAAUUCCACGUGUAGCGGUGAAAUGCGUAGAGAUGUGGAGGAACACCAGUGGCGAAGGCGACUCUCUGGUCUGUAACUGACGCUGAGGAGCGAAAGCGUGGGGAGCAAACAGG